GCCGGCGUGGUGAAAUUGGUAUACACGGCAGACUCAAAAUCUGCUGGUCGCAAGACCGUAUGGGUUCAAGUCCCAUCGCCGGUA
rnacentral:tRNA from 2 species